rnacentral:rRNA from 1 species
UACGUAGGGUGCGAGCGUUAAUCGGAAUUACUGGGCGUAAAGCGUGCGCAGGCGGUUCGUUAAGUUCGAUGUGAAAGCCCCGGGCUCAACCUGGGAAUUGCAUUGGAAACUGGCGGGCUUGAGUGUGGCAGAGGGGGGUGGAAUUCCACGUGUAGCAGUGAAAUGCGUAGAGAUGUGGAGGAACACCGAUGGCGAAGGCAGCCCCCUGGGCUAACACUGACGCUCAGGCACGAAGGCGUGGGGAGCAAACAGG